UCCUGGUGGCUCAGACCGUAAAGUAUCUGCCUACAAUGCACAAGACCCAGGUUCAAUCCCUGGGUCAGGAA
rnacentral:tRNA from 1 species